UGAACGCUGGCGGCAGGCUUAACACAUGCAAGUCGAGCGGAAACGAUGGUAGCUUGCUACCAGGCGUCGAGCGGCGGACGGGUGAGUAAUACUUAGGAAUCUACCUAGUAGUGGGGGAUAGCACGGGGAAACUCGUAUUAAUACCGCAUACGACCUACGGGAGAAAGGGGGCAGUUUACUGCUCUCGCUAUUAGAUGAGCCUAAGUCGGAUUAGCUAGAUGGUGGGGUAAAGGCCUACCAUGGCGACGAUCUGUAGCUGGUCUGAGAGGAUGAUCAGCCACACCGGGACUGAGACACGGCCCGGACUCCUACGGGAGGCAGCAGUGGGGAAUAUUGGACAAUGGGGGAAACCCUGAUCCAGCCAUGCCGCGUGUGUGAAGAAGGCCUUUUGGUUGUAAAGCACUUUAAGCAGUGAAGAAGACUCUUCGGUUAAUACCCGGAGACGAUGACAUUAGCUGCAGAAUAAGCACCGGCUAACUCUGUGCCAGCAGCCGCGGUAAUACAGAGGGUGCAAGCGUUAAUCGGAAUUACUGGGCGUAAAGCGAGCGUAGGUGGCUUGAUAAGUCAGAUGUGAAAUCCCCGGGCUUAACCUGGGAACUGCAUCUGAAACUGUUAGGCUAGAGUAGGUGAGAGGGAAGUAGAAUUUCAGGUGUAGCGGUGAAAUGCGUAGAGAUCUGAAGGAAUACCGAUGGCGAAGGCAGCUUCCUGGCAUCAUACUGACACUGAGGCUCGAAAGCGUGGGUAGCAAACAGGAUUAGAUACCCUGGUAGUCCACGCCGUAAACGAUGUCUACUAGUCGUUGGGUCCCUUGAGGACUUAGUGACGCAGCUAACGCAAUAAGUAGACCG
rnacentral:rRNA from 1 species